rnacentral:rRNA from 1 species
GACGAACGCUGGCGGCGUGCCUAAUACAUGCAAGUCGAGCGAGCUUGCCUAGAUGAAUUUGGUGCUUCCACCAGAUGAGACUAGAUACAAGCGAGCGGCUGACGGGUCAGUAACACGUGGGUAACCUCCCCAAGACACUGCUAUAACACCAGGACACAGAUGAUAAUACCGGUUAACAACACUAGACGCACUUCCUGUCUCUAAUAGAUGGUUCUGCUAUCACUCUUCGAUGGACCUGCGGUGCAUUAUCUGGUUGGUAAGGUAACGGCUUACCAUGGCAAUGAUGGAUAGCCGAGUUAGGGGACUGAUCGGCAACAUUGAAACUGAGACACGGCCCAAACUCCUACGGAGGGCAGCGGUAGGGAAUCUUCCACAUUGGAGGCAAGUCUGAUGGAGCAACGCGGCGUGGGUGAAGAAGGGUUUGGGCUCGUAAAGCUCUGUUGGUGGUGAAGAAAGAUGGGGGUAGUAACUGGCCUUUAUUUGACGGUAAUAACUAAGAAAGCCACGGCUAACUACGU